UACAGAGGCCUCGAGCGUUAGGCGGAAUCACUGGGCUUAAAGCGUGUGUAGGCGGAUGUCUAAGUGCCUUGUGAAAUCCCACGGCUUACCCGUGGAACGGCUGGGCAUACUGGAUGUCUUGAGCCACUUAGGGGCUACCGGAACAAAUGGUGGAGCGGUGAAAUGCGUAGAUAUCAUUUGGAACGCCAAUGGUGAAAACAGGUAGCUGGGAGUGUGCUGACGCUGAGACACGAAAGCCAGGGGAGCGAACGGG
rnacentral:rRNA from 1 species